UACGAAGGGGGCUAGCGUUGCUCGGAAUCACUGGGCGUAAAGCGCACGUAGGCGGAUUGUUAAGUCAGGGGUGAAAUCCUGGAGCUCAACUCCAGAACUGCCUUUGAUACUGGAGAGCUUCGAGUCCGGGAGAGGUGAGUGGAACUGCGAGUGUAGAGGUGAAAUUCGUAGAUAUUCGCAAGAACACCAGUGGCGAAGGCGGCUCACUGGCCCGGUACUGACGCUGAGGUGCGAAAGCGUGGGGAGCAAACAGG
rnacentral:rRNA from 1 species